rnacentral:tRNA from 1 species
UGGGAUAGCUCAGCUGGGAGAGCAUGAGGCUCUUAAUCUCAGAGUCAUGGGUUUGAGCCCCACUUGGGCAAAA